GAUGAACGCUGGCGGCGUGCCUAAUACAUGCAAGUCGAACGGGGGGUAGCAAUACUCUUAGUGGCUAACGGGUGAGUAACGCGGUGGUACCUGCCCCGAAGCGGGGGAUAACGGACCGAAAUGUCCGCUAAGACCCCAUGUGCGCGGAAACGAGUAAAGGUGAAAACCACUCUGGGAGGGGCAUGCGCCCCAUCAGCUAGUUGGUAAGGUAACGGCGUACGAAGGCGAUGACGGGUAGCGGACCUGAGAGGGUGGCCCCCCACAAUGGAACUGAGACACGGUCCAUACACCUACGGGUGGCAGCAGUAGGGAAUAUUGGUAAUGGGCGCGAGCCUGAACCAGCAACGCCGCGUGUGCGAUGACGGCCUUCGGGUUGUAAAGCACUUUUGACUGGGACGAGGAAGGACGGUACCGGUCGAAUCAGCCUCGGCUAACUACGUG
rnacentral:rRNA from 1 species